rnacentral:tRNA from 1 species
GGAGAGAUGGCCGAGUAGGUCGAAGGCGGUCGCCUGCUAAGCGAUUAUACGGGCUAAAACUCGUAUCGAGCACUCAUUGAGCUUUUUUA